rnacentral:rRNA from 1 species
AUUGAACGCUGGCGGCAUGCCUUACACAUGCAAGUCGAACGGUAACAGGUCUUCGGAUGCUGACGAGUGUCGAACGGGUGAGGAAUACAUCGGAACGUGCCUAGGCGUGGGGGGUAACUACUCGAAAUAGUGGCUAAAACCGGCUGAGAGCUCCGGCUGAAACACGGGGAUCGCAAGUCCCUGGUCUACUUGAGCUGCCGAUGGCAGAUUAGGUAGUUGGUGGGAUAAAAGCUUACCAAGCCGACGAUCUGUAGCUGGUCUGAGAGGACGAUCAGCCACACUGGGACUGAGACACGGCCCAGACUCCUACGGGAGGCAGCAGUGGGGAAUUUUGGACAAUGGGCGCAAGCCUGAUCCAGCAAUGCCGCGUGCAGGAUGAAGGCCUUCGGGUUGCAACCUGCUUUUGUACGGAACGAAAAGCCCCGGGUUAAUACCCUGGGGUCAUGACGGUACCGUAAGAAUAAGCACCGGCUAACUACGUGCCAGCCGCCGCCGUAA